rnacentral:lncRNA from 1 species
GCCGUAGUGAUAACAAACCUAUUUUGGCGACUGGGGCUGGGAGGCUUAGCGUCACGGGUUUACCAUGCCCACCGUAACAUACACUGCUCUCUGAGACACACCACCUCCGUGAGCCUCCGCCUAGCGAGCGUGUUCUCUGCUCUUAUUUGCCCCAUUUUGUNUGGGCAACGAGGCGGGGAAGCAAGUGAAGGAAUCGGGGCGCAGCUUCCCAACGGAGACGCGCCCACCGUGCUACNCAGCCAGCUGACACUGAAGCACGAAGAUGUGUCUGCGGUACCACCGCCUCGCACGCUAAGCAAAGUGGAGGAGGCAGCUGCUUCUUCAUUGGCUGCUUCCGACCGCAUGUGCCGGCCCCUCACUAUCUGAAUGGGAGUGGGGAGGGGGGAAAGCCCAGUGCAAGCUGUGAUCCUGCAUGGUAGGAGUUGGCUGUAGCUGCAGCUGCAGCCAGAAACUGCAUCCGAAAGAGGAAAGUCAAGAGCUGCCUUAAGGAUAUAGGGCAAAAAUCCAGGAAUAGGGAGACAACAUCCCACUUUCCCAGUUUGUUCCCGCCAGGCAAGAAGAGAACUGAGGACCNUAUGUUUACAACAUAUGGAAGGAAGAUGAGAGAAUGUAUAAGAGAAACAUUCUUCUGGCCAGUGAAAGAUCUCAGAGUUACUCAGCAGGGAGAAGCCAUGGAGGUGAAUUCUAAGGAUCAGUCCAGCUCACCUCAGAAGCAGGGGGUGAAAGCUCGGUCCAAAUCCACAGAGGAGAUCCAGCCUGCCAAGAAGGCUUUCCACACUCCCCAGAAGUCUUUGCCUAGCCAGAUGGAUGGAGAUGAGUCCAAGGCUUCCUGUCCUGAUCCAGCACCUAAUACCAUUCAGCAGCAGCAGUAGACUUGAGGAACAGAUACUGCAUGUGUGCAGAUGGAGAGGAGAGGAGUCAUAACUGUUCCUUGCACUCUUCUUUGGUUUCACCUUGUUGCUCAGUCUUCAUGCCUUCGUGGAUGUCACUGUAGUUCUGUCUGUCCAGCUGUUGCUGUCUGACUGUCUGUCUUCCCUGUGGAAUGAAAUCUGGAUAAAUAAAGCUAGUUGGAACAUCCU